UACGUAGGGGGCUAGCGUUGUCCGGAAUCAUUGGGCGUAAAGCGCGUGUAGGCGGCCCGGUAAGUCCGCUGUGAAAGUCGGGGGCUCAACCCUCGGAUGCCGGUGGAUACCGUCGGGCUUGAGUACGGAAGAGGCGAGUGGAAUUCCUGGUGUAGCGGUGAAAUGCGCAGAUAUCAGGAGGAACACCAAUUGCGAAGGCAGCUCGCUGGGACGUUACUGACGCUGAGACGCGAAAGCGUGGGGAGCAAACAGG
rnacentral:rRNA from 1 species